rnacentral:rRNA from 1 species
AGAGUUUGAUCCUGGCUCAGAAUCAACGCUGGCGGCGUGCCUAACACAUGCAAGUCGAACGAGAAAGUGGAGCAAUCCAUGAGUAAAGUGGCGACCGGGUGAGUAACACGUGACUAACCUACCUUCGAGUGGGGGAUAACCUCGGGAAACCGAGGCUAAUACCGCAUAACAUCGCAAGAUCAAAGCAGCAAUGCGCUUGAAGAGGGGGUCGCGGCUGAUUAGCUAGUUGGCGGGGUAACGGCCCACCAAGGCGAAGAUCGGUAUCCGGCCUGAGAGGGCGCACGGACACACUGGAACUGAAACACGGUCCAGACUCCUACGGGAGGCAGCAGUGGGGAAUUUUGCGCAAUGGGGGAAACCCUGACGCAGCAACGCCGCGUGGAGGAUGAAGCCCCUUGGGGCGUAAACUCCUUUCGACCAAGACGAUAAUGACGGUA